AAAAGUAAAAGAUGAAGGUGUGGUUUUCUUCGCAGGAAUGGAGGCUGCCCUGAAAAUUUACUUUUAUCCGUUGCUGUUCAUUUUCACCUGUGACGGGUUCCAUGUCCAUGGUCCACCUGGUCCUCUCAUUGUUCAGCUGGGAGACUCAGUGAUGCUGCCCUGCUUUGUAGAAACUCCUCUACCACUGGAAGACCUGGAAGUGGAGUGGAAAAGAAUUGACAGUGAAACUCUAGUGCACUUGUGGCAGAAUGGAGAGAGUCGACCAGAGUCUCAGAACCAGCUUUAUCAUGAAAGAGCUCAUUUCUUCACCAAUGAGUUCACUCAUGGAAACUUCUCCCUCCUCCUUACAGAUGUGACCAGUAAAGAUGCAGGAGUUUAUAAGUGUGCUGUUUACACAAAGCUGGAUUCUGGUGAAACUCUGAUUGAAAUAAAGGAGAUUGAGCGUUUGAUCGUGUCUGGAUCCCAUGUUAUAUCUGCACAGGCGGGUGAAGAUAUCACUCUGAACUGCUCUGUAGACUCUCAUCUCCCACCAGAAAAUAUAGAAGAGGUGUCAUGGAAGAAAAUGGAAGAAGAUAUCUUAGUGCUGCUUUAUCAGGAGGGUCAGAUCCUGACAGAGUCGACUGGUGAGAGAUACGUGGACAGAGUACAAUUCUUCAGCACUGAAGAAAGAAACAAAGGAAACUUCUCUAUGAGACUGAAGAAUGUCCAAACGGAGGACAAAGGGCUGUAUAUGUGUUUAGCGUUCUCUGGGACAUCAUCAGCUAACACAACUGUGGAGGUACAGCAGCUGGGUCUUUCCUUUCUGCAUUUUGCAAUUAUCAUUUUGUGUAUACUUGGAUUUGUAAUCGGAUCACUUGUACUGGGCUUCCUAUCUUACACAUGUUAUAAAAGGAAAGAUGACAGCAGAAGAGCCGUAGCUAUACAGUGUGCACAUGUCCUUUGUCCUAACAUUACCAUGUCCAUUGUCUUCAUCCUCUGGGGUGUCACUGAUGGGAUUUUUACUGAAGCAGCAACUUGUUCAGCCCUUAAUUUUGCUCGGAUCCUGUUACUACUUUGGAUUGUUCUCCAUCUGAAAACAUUUCAAGAUUUUCCCCAGCGAUUAAUUACCAAGUUGGCAAUUCUGCUACAGUAUACUGUGAUAACUGUUUUUGCGUAUUCUUCUAUUUUUGUGGAUAUGUUGUUUAGCUUUGCCACUGAAGCGAAAGUAGCUCUGAUAAUCAUGCUCCUGCUGCUACUUAUUCCUGUUCUGGGUGUUAUUGCUCUAACAUGCUGUAAAAAAAUUCGUCCAUUAACGAUUUACAGAAUUACAGAACUCAGUGAUAUUCUACGAAUAACUGUUUUUACACUGGGAUUUCAAAGAAGUGCGAUUGCGUUAUUAGUUCCACUUUUCACUUUGGUCUGGUUUUAUUUUCGUUAUUUUCUUGUUUUUCUGAGUGAUUUACUCUAUAUAUCAGGGACGUUGCUCCUGGAGGUUGUAAGGGUUUCAGGGUCGAUCUACAUCCAUUACAAUCUGAAUGUUGAUGUGAAAGAACGGGACGCAUUGGUCUGUGUGACGGUAUUCCUCCAAAUGCUGAUCAUGAUUACACUGUUUACAAAUAUAAGCUUUUCACCAGAUGAAAGAUAUCGCUCCAGAAAGAGUGGGACACAUCACUCUUUACCCCAUUUGGUUGUGUUCAUGUUUGGUACAGUGGGGGUUGUUUUUGUGAACGCUGGUGCAUUAUUAGUAGAGCUGAUCCUAAAAGCACGAAAUGGUGAGCGGACAGUGGAUCUGCGACUUAUUCUCAUACCCACUGAAAGUGUCUUUGCUGUGUGCUACAUUUCUUUACAAAUAUCUACUUUAUGGAAGGAGAACAAAAAAGUGUAAAUGUGUAUUUUAAAGAUUUGCAAAUGACAUAAAGAAGCUGCGACAGUUGUGUGUGUGUAAAAAGACUCGGAGGGAUUCCACAACAUAAACUGGUGAAUCUGGCUCCUGAUCCUCAGCCCUCAGGGUCUUAGCAGGUGUUGGGCUCGGCCCCUUAGUUCCAGUGAAAGGAACUCUUAAUGCUUCAGCAUACCAAGACAGUACCAAGACAUUUUGGACAAUUUCAUGGUCCCAAAUUGGGGAUGACCCCUUCCUGUUCCAACAUGACUGCACACCACUCCUGUGCAACAAGUGAUUUAUUUUACAUUUUCAGCAUAAAAUCCUCAAACACAACCCCAGAAGAUUGCUAAUGUACAUCUACCUGGUUCCUGCACUGUCACCUGACUAGCUGACAUCCCUACAGAAACCACUAGUGACUGUACUAGUUGAUUAGUCUGUGCAACUCCAUAUAAAGAUCUGUUUUUUGCUGUGGUAUGCAGUUAUGGGGAAAACAAAACACCCUCCAUCACUUCUGUCUUUUUAUAUAUCAGGGGCUAAAUAACCACUGUUCGGUUCUCACCAGCUUCUAGAAAUAGACUCAGGUGAGAACAAAAAAACAACAGAUUUCAACAUUUAAUCAUUUUUUCCCUAAACAUGAACCAACAUUCUGAACAUUUAGCCUCAUUGUCCUGUCGCAUGACCUGAUUCCAGCUCAGAUUAAGCUGCUGGACAGAUGGUCUCGAUGGUCUUCAGAAUAUUCCGGUAAUAAAGUGGACUUUAUCAGCUGUCUCACUGACUGCACGAUUCCCAGGUCCUGUAGCUCAACAAGCUCAAAUCAUCACCCCUCCACUGCCAUGCUUCACAGUUGGUUUAAUCUGCUUACAGAGGCUUAACAUGUUGCUUUGGAUUUUUCUUUGUAUGUCUGAAUAGUCUGAGCUUAGACUGAAUUUGCUGAGAUGCUCACUCCUCAGACUCCUUCUGCAGAACAGCUGUAUUGAACGUUCUCCCCACAUGUAAACAGUUCUUCACAUUGUAGAAUGAUGAAUUUGAAAUUAUAUGUAGAUGGCCUUAAAAACCUUCACAGACUGAUGAGCAGCAACAGUUUCUCUGAGUCCUGGCUGAUUUCCUUUCUUCUUGACAUGAUGUAGACACUCACACGAGUGAUCCCGUACACCAAAGUUCUGCUUUUACAGACAGUCACACUUCAUGAUGAUGAACUAAUUUUGUUUAUUUCAUUAGUAACCUGGCCUCUAAUUACUCUCUUAUUAAUGGUGAAAGUAGGAAAGGUGUAUUUAUUUUUUUGGGAAAAAAUGAGUACAGUACCCCUGCCUUUCGCGCAAUGAGCGCUGGGAUAGCAGCAGACCCCCGUGAAAAUGAGUACAGUACCUGAGGUUAUAAGUUUCUUUAUAGAAGUUAGUGAGAUCCACACAGUUAUUAUUUAGGUCCUGAUAAAUAAAAAUAUAGAAUUGAAGGAAGGUGUCCUUUUUCCCCCUGUAAGUAAUUGAAUGCACUAGUUUGAUUGACUCAGAGAUUUAUUUUAAAUAUGCCUGUAAUGUUAUAUUUUUAUAUCUUAUUUUUAUUUAUUUUUUUUUAUUUUACAAUCCUUUCUGUGAUACUUAAAUGUGAAUCUCUUGUCUUCAUGUUUGCUUCCGCUAUAUAAUUGUUUUUUUUGUUUUUUUUAUUUAAAUGCCAGGUAUUAUGACUAAAUUUGUUUUACUUAAUUGCCUAUUUUGAGACAUACUGUAGGAUAAAGAUUAGGAUUUAAACUCAGUCUGGCAUUAAAAACAUUUAUUGUAUUGUUUAAUCAUCUGCCAAAUUCACCUGUGUUUAUGACGCAAUAAUCUGUUAUCAGAAAUCUGUAUAUAAAACUCCAGGGAUUACAAAGUUUUCUAUUGAUUUAUUGCAUCUUUGAGAGCUCAGAGUUUAUAUUUACAUACAGAACAAAUCAAUCAGAUUACAUGCUAUGUAAAUAUUUCCAUAAAAUUACUUCGUUACAGUACUAGAGAGUAAAAGAGAGUUUUUGUGCUUUACGUGAGUUUUUAUAUUUCUGUCAACUUUUACUUCACUACUUUUUUUAAACAAAUUCUAUACUUUUACUCCGAUACAUUUUCUGUUCUCAUUUUCAUUACUUACUACAAAAAAACCCUGCGUCCAAAUUUGCAGUAAAGGAAGUUUGUGGUUAAUGAUGACUUUAGGCCACUUUGACUUGACUUUAGUGUCCACACGUUUUAAAAACGGAGAUUUUUCUACUUCGGUUAUCUUAUUUUGUCCACAUGACCUACGUGUUAAAAAUAUCUUUGUCCACAUGAAAACGCAAAACACCCUGUUAAGUGCUGUCAGGAGCAUAGCCAAUCAGAAGCCUAGACAAAACUUUAUUACAGGUUCCGGUAGUUUAACAACAAUGGUGCAUCGCGUGAAAGUGAUGCCCUUGACAUGCAAAAUUCAUUCAUUGUAGAAUGUAGCAGUCCGAUCGGGUCUCAUCCAAAACCACCAUCGCUGUGUGCAUUGUCGGAGUUUUGUAUGUAGCAGCAGUGAGCUCCGUAUUACAUUCCGGCCCUCUGUUCAUGAAUGUAAUGUCCGAGUAACUGCGUGUGUAUGUGCACGCAUGUAAAAAGUCCAGUAAGAAACGUUAACACAGUCAGUAGUUUAUGUAAGUCUGCUAUUGCACAAAAUAUCUUCAUCAACAAAGCUCAGAAAAUCAAGGAGACCGGCACACAGACAAUGAUGUCAAUUCUUCAAAAUCUCCGUUUCCCCUGUCCAUACCACACCACUGAAAAAAUCUUCACUUUGGAAGGAGUUUUCCAAAAGCUCAGUUUUCGACGACCUCAAACUGCAUUAGCGUGUGGACGAAAGGUCAAAACCCAGAGAAAAAUCCCCGGCUACGUGUGGACAUGGCCUUAGUUAUAUGUUUGGAAACACUGAUACUGUACACUUCAUUACAAUACAGUUCUAAAGACCUCUUCUUUCUUUCAUGCAAGUCUUAUUUUUUGGUGGUACACUUAUUGAGGAGUUUAAGAAAGAAAGCACUGCAGAAUAAAAUUCAUAAUUCUCCAGAUGUUUACAGUCUUGCUUUUUUAUUAAAUUUACUUCUACUUUUACUUUCCAUACUUGAGUACAUUCAUGGAAAUACUACUUUUGAUACUUAAGUACAGUUUAUUUUAGAUGCUUUAAGACUUUUACUCAAGUAGAGUUAUAAUGGUUGACUUUAACUUUUACUUGAGUCAUUUUCUAACAAAAUACCUGUACUUUUACUCAAGUAUGGCUUUAGGGUACUUUAUACAACACUGAGUAUUUAAUGUAAGAGCGAUGCAGGAAAGGUACAAAAAGUAAUAAAAGUAUUUGUAUAAUUGUGUAUAACGUUCAGUACAGGAACACAGGAAAUGUCACUGUUUACAUUUAAAACUGCUCAGGUGUGUGUCAAUGAAUAUCAAUGCUGAACUGAUAGCAGCAGCAUCUGAUCAGAUUGUGUUUUUUGGUUCUUCUGUAUUUCAAAAAAUCAAAAACAAAUUUUUUUCAUGUAAAAUGCGGCUUAUGUAAAUAUCAGUAUUUUUCACUUUCUACAUGAAUUAAAUUGUGAGUACAGAACAGUAUUCAGUGUAACAGUGUUACAUGUUGCUUGUUUUACUUUUUUUUAUUGUUUCCAAAUCUCAUGUACCGGUUCUAUAAUAUAUUCAGCCAUGUGAACACAGUGCUUCCAGGUUUGUUAUGAUAAUAAUGAAACAUAAAUAAAUUCAUUACUAUUCUGAUUUAUCUGUUUCUUUCUGACUACAAAUGUUGGUGUGUUUGUCAUUAUACAAUUAGUCUGAUUAAAACCAUGUCUUCUCUAAGGAAGGCCUCUAACACACCGAUAUUAGAUUUAUAUUAAAAUAAUUCAGAAAGAUUUAUUCU